GAUGAACGCUGGCGGCGUGCCUAAUACAUGCAAGUCGAGCGAACGGACGAGAAGCUUGCUUCUCUGAUGUUAGCGGCGGACGGGUGAGUAACACGUGGAUAACCUACCUAUAAGACUGGGAUAACUUCGGGAAACCGGAGCUAAUACCGGAUGAUAUUUUGAACCGCAUGGUUCAAAAGUGAAAGACGGUCUUGCUGUCACUUAUAGAUGGAUCCGCGCUGCAUUAGCUAGUUGGUAAGGUAACGGCUUACCAAGGCAACGAUGCAUAGCCGACCUGAGAGGGUGAUCGGCAACACUGGAACUGAGACACGGUCCAGAAUCCAAGGGGAGGCAGCAGUAGGGAAUCGUCCGCAAAGGGCGAAAGCCUGACGGAGAAACGCCGCGUGAGUGAUGAAGGUCUUCGGAUCGUAAAACUCUGUUAUUAGGGAAGAACAUAUGUGUAAGUAACUGUGCACAUCUUGACGGUACAUAAUCAGAAAGCCACGGCUAACUACGU
rnacentral:rRNA from 1 species